rnacentral:lncRNA from 1 species
UUUAGCUGACAUCUUGGAAGGAAAGCAGGAGAGAGACCUGGGCCCUGACCUUCCUUCGUCACCAUCAGCUUGUGACAUCUUCUCAGGCCAGCCCUAGCCAACUCUGUGACUGUUUCCACAGGUGUCGAUGUUGGCAUCAUGUCUAACUUCUGCUGCUUCCCAAGGUCGCCAUGAUCAUCUCAUUAGUGAGCAGAUGUAAAGUAUUUGUAAAAAGGCAUCAUACAAAAACAAAGUUCAUUGUUAUUCAUCCUUUU